GUGAUCACUUCAGCAGCACAUAUACUAAUACAGAUACGAUACAAAUAUUAGCAUGGCCCUGUGCAAGGAUUACAUGUAAAUAUGUGAAGCAUUCCAUAUUUUU
ensembl:snRNA U6 U6 spliceosomal RNA